AAUCUAUUUCAGUGAUUUACUAUUUUAAAAUGAUUUAUUUAGUCAUUAUUUCAAUUAUUGUGCAUUAUCUUGUAAAAUUCAUAUAAAAUAAUCUAUGCGCUCAAAAAUUAUUUUUAAAAUAUGGGGAGAGAGGUAAUUUCAUAUUCUAUAUUUUAAAAAUAUAGUUCGAGUUCUUCAGAGCAAUUUCAUAGCAAUUUUAUAAUUUACAAGCUCACUUUCAGGAUUUUCAGCAUAUAUUAAUGUAAAGUUAAAAUCAGUUUUUAAUGCAGAAUGACCAUUAUACCCCCUGCGUUUUUCUCCCUUAAAUCAGACCCCCACCCCCCAUUCUCUUCUUCUGGGUCGCGAGCAAAACUCUCCAAACCCUAUCUCUUUUGUUUCUCUUCUCACUAGAUAUAAACUCUUGCUCUCUCUUGGAGAUUCGAAAGACGAGGUCGCGAAGCUUAAGAAAGGAAAGGCUCCAUUAGGUGACAGUUAGAGGAUUACUUUAUCAAGUGGAAAACGAGUUGAGCUAAGCAAGAGGAAGAUGGCCAGAUAUAGGUGCUCAGUUUGUUAGACUGUCUACAUCCCCCUCUCUGUUUCGUGAGAUUACUUUACCAGCUCAGGUAGAGGACGCUUUGGAUAGUCAGUGGAGAGUAAGUAUGUUAGUAUGGACCGUUGAAAACAGUACCUUUGAGAUGUUUUAUAUAAUUCCAAGUCGGAAUUAUGGUUGAUGCUAUUUAUUAAGGGUCUGUAAUAAGUUUAUAACUUAUUAUUUUGGUUAGUAGUUGUAACUUGUUUCAUACCAUCACCUGUUAAAGAUCCUUGUGGUGUAAAGGGGUUGAGUAUUUAUAUUGUUAAAUCCA